GAUUAACGCUGGCGGCGUGCCUAACACAUGCAAGUCGAGCGGCAGCGUCUUUUCUACUGGCUUCUGGGUGCUUCUCGUUGAGGGAUAUGCUUUAUUCAAGAGUUUUGUGUAAAGUGUCUGCGAGUGGCGGACUGCUGGGUCACUCGUGGGAACGUACCUCGAAGUGGGGUCUGCCGCCUCUAAAGGUGUUCUAUUACCGCGUAUUGUCUUCGCAUUCCAGCCUUCGGUCGCUUUAGGAACGGCCUGCGUAAGAUUAGGUAGUUGGUGGGGUAAUGGCCUACCAAGUCGACGAUCCGUAGCUGGUUUGAGAGGAUGAUCAGUCAGACUGGAACUGAGACACGGUCCAGACUCCUACGGGAGGCAGCAGUGAGGAAUCUUACACAAUGGGGGAAAGCCUGAUGGAGCAAUGCCGCGUGAAGGAUGAAGGCCUUCGGGUUGUAAACUGCUUUUAGAAGUGAGGAUUAUGACAGUAACUGAUGAAUAAGGAUCGGCUAACUACGUG
rnacentral:rRNA from 1 species